CGUUCCGGAUUGAUGUUCGACCGGCCAGGGAUACGGCGCAUCGUGUGUUCUCCUGGCGUAUCCCUUUGCAGCCGAUGUCCCCUCCCUCAUCAGUCUGCGAUGCGCCCUCCUGGCCCCGCUCGUCGAUUGUGACCAGCGGGGCUUUUU
rnacentral:sRNA from 1 species